rnacentral:rRNA from 1 species
UACGGGGGGGGCAAGCGUUGUUCGGAAUUACUGGGCGUAAAGGGCUCGUAGGCGGCCAACUAAGUCGGACGUGAAAUCCCCAGGCUCAACCUGGGAACUGCGUCCGAUACUGGAUGGCUUGAAUCCGGGAGAGGGAUGCAGAAUUCCAGGUGUAGCGGUGAAAUUCGUAGAUAUCGGGAGGAACACCAGUGGCGAAGGCGGCGAUCUGGGAAGAUACUGACGCUGAGGUGCGAAAGCGUGGGGAGCAAACAGG